UGAUAAGUGGUGUGAAAAUGGGUCGAAGGAAGUGAAGUGAUGGAGUGAAGUGGAGAGACGACUUUGAAAUGUGGAGAGUCACUGGAGUUCUUUGUAUGAGAGAGAAGGAGUGCCAGUGAGGAGGUGCCAUCGAACUGCCACAUCAUCUGAAGCCAUUAUUGUGCCAGCGAAUUUCUUUGCCACGACAUUUUGUUCAAGGACUGUUUGUGAUGCUUUUGUUAUAUGAAUAAAGAGUCUAAAAUAAA